rnacentral:rRNA from 2 species
AAUACCCAAUCCUGACACAGGGAGGUAGUGACAAGAAAUAACAAUACAGGGCUAAUGUCUUGUAAUUGGAAUGAUGGUGACCCAAACCCUCACCAGAGUAGCAAUUGGAGGGCAAGUCUGGUGCCAGCAGCCGCGGUAAUUCCAGCUCCAAUAGCGUAUAUUAAACUUGUUGCAGUUAAAAAGCUCGUAGUUGAAUUUUAGCGUGUUCGAGUUUGCCAUUCGUUUGGCUUUUUCGAGUUCGCUUUUGGGUUUUCCCUUUUUACUUUGAGAAAAUUAGAGUGUUUCAAGCAGACUUUUGUCUUGAAUACUUCAGCAUGGAAUAAUAGAGUAGGACUUUGGUUCUAUUUUGUUGGUUAUUGAACCUUAGUAAUGGUUAAUAGGAACGGUUGGGGGCAUUCGUAUUUAA